rnacentral:rRNA from 1 species
GCGCAUCUGUGCAUGCAGCAUAUCAAUAAGCGGAGGAAAAGAAACUAACAAGGAUUCCCCUAGUAACGGCGAGUGAAGCGGGAAGAGCUCAAAUUUGAAAUCUUAAAGGGUUUCCCUUUACGAAUUGUAGUUUAAAGAAGUGUUUUCUGUUGAGGUUUUGGUAAAAGUUCUUUGGAAUAGGACAUCAUAGAGGGCUGAGAAUCCCGUAUUUGACCUUUACUUUCAACUUUGUGAUACACUUUCAAAGAGUCGGAUUGUUUGGGAAUGCAGUCCAAAAUGGGUGGUAAAUUUCAUCUAAAGCUAAAUAUUGGCGAGAGACCGAUAGCGAACAAGUACCGUGAGGGAAAGAUGAAAAGAACUUUGAAAAGAGAGUUAAACAGUACGUGAAAUUGUCAAAAGGGAAGCGUUUGACACCAGUGUUGUUUUUCUGAAAAUCAAUUAAAGAACUGUUUAUGCUAAGUUGUUUAGACUUUAUCAGCUAACUGUUUAGUUUUGAGCUUUUCUUUAAUGCACUUUUCAGUUAACAAGUCAACAUCAAUUUCUUUUGCUGUAAAAAAGCUUGAGGAAGGUGGCUUGAGAUUCGUCUUAAGUGUUUAUAGCCUCUUGCCUAUGCAGUCGGAGAGAUUGAGGUCUGCAGCGUAGAUCCUUCGGGGCUAAAUGCAUUUGUGCUAAGUUAUAGCAUUUUAUAGACAACUUGUUGACUAUGAUUUGUCUUGUAGCUUACUCGCUUAUGUUAUUUUACCUACGCUUAGGAUGUUGAAUCUGUGCGAGACUAC